GUCUAUGGCCAUGCCACCCUGAAUGCGCGCCCAAUCUCAGCUGAUCUUGGAAGCUAAGCAGGAUUGGGCCUGCUUAAUGCUUGGAUGGGAGACCACUUAGGAAUACCGAGUGCUGUAGGCU
ensembl:rRNA 5S_rRNA 5S ribosomal RNA